rnacentral:rRNA from 1 species
UACGUAGGGACCAAGCGUUGUUCGGAUUUACUGGGCGUAAAGGGCGCGUAGGCGGCUUAACAAGUCACUUGUGAAAUCUCCGGGCUUAACUCGGAACGGCCAAGUGAAACUGUCAAGCUAGAGUGCAGAAGGGGCAAUCGGAAUUCUUGGUGUAGCGGUGAAAUGCGUAGAUAUCAAGAGGAACACCUGAGGUGAAGACGGGUUGCUGGGCCGAUACUGACGCUGAGGAGCGAAAGCCAGGGGAGCGAACGGG